UGGGGAAUAUUGGACAAUGGGGGCAACCCUGAUCCAGCAAUGCCGCGUGUGUGAAGAAGGUCUUCGGAUUGUAAAGCACUUUCGACGGGGACGAUGAUGACGGUACCCGUAGAAGAAGCCCCGGCUAACUUCGUGCCAGCAGCCGCGGUAAUACGAAGGGGGCUAGCGUUGCUCGGAAUGACUGGGCGUAAAGGGCGUGUAGGCGGUUUACACAGUCAGAUGUGAAAUCCCCGGGCUUAACCUGGGAGCUGCAUUUGAUACGUGUAGACUAGAGUGUGAGAGAGGGUUGUGGAAUUCCCAGUGUAGAGGUGAAAUUCGUAGAUAUUGGGAAGAACACCGGUGGCGAAGGCGGCAACCUGGCUCAUGACUGACGCUGAGGCGCGAAAGCGUGGGGAGCAAAC
rnacentral:rRNA from 1 species